UACGUAGGGGGCAAGCGUUAUCCGGAUUUACUGGGUGUAAAGGGAGCGCAGGCGGUGAGAUAAGUCUGAUGUGAAAGCCCGGGGCUCAACCCCGGGAUUGCAUUGGAAACUGUCACACUUGAGUGUCGGAGAGGUAAGUGGAAUUCCUAGUGUAGCGGUGAAAUGCGUAGAUAUUAGGAGGAACACCAGUGGCGAAGGCGGCUUACUGGACGAUAACUGACGCUGAGGCUCGAAAGCGUGGGGAGCAAACAGG
rnacentral:rRNA from 1 species